rnacentral:ribozyme from 1 species
AAAGCAUGAAAAAAAAGAGAAACAUACGAUGAAAAGAAGAAAAACAAAGCUACCUGCUGUUGCCCCUCCCCACGCCCAACCUCCCUCUUUCUCUGCUACCUCUUCUUCCUCUUCUAUUGCUGACUCACACGAAAACAUUACUUUUGAUCCACACGAUUAUGUGUAACCAAAAUACAAAUCCCCUCUUUUUUUUUCUCUCUUUUCUUUUGUCUCCUUCUGAAGGGAAAAAAAAAAUAAAUUUUUUUAA